rnacentral:tRNA from 1 species
GCUGGCGUGGCAGAACCGGCGAGACGCCCACUGGCGGUGGGCCGGCGUCGCGACGUUGCUGCUCGCGGUUCCGUUCGCGCACCUGUAC